UACAGAUCUUUUCUGGCGGGGUGCGAUGUUUUUUAUUGCCCUGAUCAAGAUGUAUUAAAAUUUAUCUACGUCUGUCAUCAGUGCCCACCGGGAAAUAUCCAAAGCUCCAUCAAUAAACCAUAUGAAGAAGGAAAAACUUGUGAAAAGUGUCCAAACGCAUGUAAUAAGGGAUUAUGCACUAAUCCAUGUUACUAUAACCUGGAGGCCAGCAACUGCAAGGACUACAAACAAAUGUGCUAUGCUGAUUCUGUAAAACAAAAUUGCCCAGGAACAUGCGGGUGCAGCAAUGGUGAAAUUAUGUAACUUUGUUGUUUUCCCAAAACAGAAGUGAGCGGGUAAAGCCACCAAAUA